GACGAACGCUGGCGGCGUGCUUAACACAUGCAAGUCGAACGGAAAGGCCCUGCUUUUGUGGGGUGCUCGAGUGGCGAAUGGGUGAGUAACACGUGAGUAACCUGCCCUUGACUUUGGGAUAACUUCAGGAAACUGGGGCUAAUACCGGAUAGGAGCUCCUGCUGCAUGGUGGGGGUUGGAAAGUUUCGGCGGUUGGGGAUGGACUCGCGGCUUAUCAGCUUGUUGGUGGGGUAGUGGCUUACCAAGGCUUUGACGGGUAGCCGGCCUGAGAGGGUGACCGGUCACAUUGGGACUGAGAUACGGCCCAGACUCCUACGGGAGGCAGCAGUGGGGAAUAUUGCACAAUGGGCGGAAGCCUGAUGCAGCAACGCCGCGUGCGGGAUGACGGCCUUCGGGUUGUAAACCGCUUUCGCCUGUGACGAAGCGUGAGUGACGGUAAUGGGUAAAGAAGCACCGGCUAACUACGUG
rnacentral:rRNA from 1 species